AGCGAACGCUGGCGGUAGGCUUAACACAUGCAAGUCGAACGGCAGCACAGUAAGAGCUUGCUCUUACGGGUGGCGAGUGGCGGACGGGUGAGGAAUACAUCGGAAUCUACUUUUUCGUGGGGGAUAACGGAGGGAAACUUACGCUAAUACCGCAUACGACCUACGGGUGAAAGCAGGGGAGCUUCGGACCUUGCGCGAUUGAAUGAGCCGAUGUCGGAUUAGCUAGUUGGCGGGGUAAAGGCCCACCAAGGCGACGAUCCGUGGCCGGUCUGAGAGGUGGGUCGGUCACCCUGGAACUGGGACACGGUCCACGCUCCUGCGGGAGGCCGCAGUCGGCAAUGUUGGACAUUGGGCGCAAGCCUGAUCCAGCCAGCCCGCGUGGGUGGAGAAGGCCUUCGGGUUGUAAAGCCCUUUUGUUGGUAGAGAAAAGCAGCAGGUUAAUACCCCGCUGUUGUGACGGUACCCGAUGAAUAAGCACCGGCUAACUUCGUG
rnacentral:rRNA from 1 species